rnacentral:tRNA from 1 species
UCCGGGAUAGUUCAGCGGUAGAACGGCGCCCUGUUAAGGCGAGGGUCGGGGGUUCGAAUCCCUCUCCCGGAG